AUGGAGUUUCGCUCUUGUUGCCCAGGCUGGAGUGCAAUGGCACAAACUCUGCUCACUGCAAUUUCUGCCUCCCAGGUUCAAGCGAUUCUCCUGCCUCAGCCUCCAAAGUAGCUGGGAUUACAGGGUGAGCCACCACAUCCGACUAAUUUUUGUAUUUUUAGUAGAGACAGGGUUUUGCCAUGUUGGCCAGGCUGGUCUGGAACUCCUGAUCUCAAGUCAUCUGCCUGCCUUGGCCUCCCAAAGUGCUAGGAUUACAGGCAUGAGCCACUGUGCCAGGCUUUUUUGUAUUUUUAUAUUUAUUUAUAUUUUGAUAGAGAGUCUCGCUCUGUUGCCAAGGCUGGAGUGCAGUGGCACGGUCUCAGCUCACUGCAAACUCCGCCUCCCAGGCUGAAGCGAUUCUCCUGCCUCUGCCUCCCGAGUAGCUGGUAUUACAGGCACCUGCCACCACGCUGGCUACUUUUUGUAUUUUAAUUAGAGACAGAGUUUCACCAUGUUGGCCAGGCUGGUCUUGAACUCCUGACCUCAGGUGAGCCGCCCACCUCGGCCUCCCAAAGUGGCCUUGCUUGAGGCCAGGAGUUUGAGACCAGCCUGGCCAACAUGGUGAAACCUGCUCUCUACCAAAAAUACCAAAAAAAUUAGCCAGGUAUGGUGGUGUGUGCCUGUAUUACAAGCUACUUUGGCGGCUGAGACACAAAAAUCACUUGAACCCAGGAGGCAGAGGUUUCAGUGAGCUGUGAUCACCUCACUGCACUGUAGCCUGGGUAACAGAUUGAGACUUGUCUCAAAAAAAAAAAAUUAUUGGCAGGAUGUGGUGGCUCACACCUGUAAUCCCCGCACUUUGGGAGGCCAAGGUGGGCAGAUCUCCGCCUGACUUACAUGGAGAAACUCUGUCUCUACUAAAAAUACAAAAUUAGCUGGGCGUGGUGGUGCGUGCCUGUAAUCCCAGCUACUCAGGAGGGUGAGGCAGGAGAAUCGCUUGAACCCAGGAGGCAGAGGUUGCAGCGAGCCAAGAUCGCGCCACUGUGCUCCAGCCUGGGCAACAAGAGCGAAACUCCGUCUCAAAAAAAGAAAAAAAAAAUCUUUACUUUGGAUAAGUACUUAGAAAUGGAAUUUCCAGGUCAGCCACUAGAUAUUAUUAAUGGAUUUAAUAUGAAAACCCUUUACUUGAGGAUGCAUAAAGCUUCAAAAGACAGGGUCCCUAUUCUUAAGUUAUAAAUAAAGCAUCAUUUGUAAGGUAAUAAUCAGAAAGCAUCAGAUAAUAUCCUAUAAAGUUCUCCUGUUCAUGCUGAUGACAUUGGAUGGCCAGUUAAGGAUGACACUUCAUUCUGUCCCCUGCAACCACAGUCCUGACAUGUCUAAAUGAUACUGGCCCUAUGAGAACACUGUGGAUAUGAAAGCAUUUUGUCAAGUUAGCUUUUUGGCCUGCUGGUUUUAAUCUAAUGAUGGGAUAUCCAAAGUGAAUCUAACGGAGUGACAUGAUUGUGCAUCUGUUGGGGGGAAUCAGAGACAGCUAGAGCAAGGGCAGACACGUGCUGAACUCAUCUGUCCUAAGAGCUGAAGCAAGCAGCAGUGUUGCUAGCAGGGCUACUGCCCAUCUGUACAUGUGGCUCCAAUGGCUCUGACCUGUUUUUUUCCCAGUAUGAACCUAAUACACGAAGCAAGUUAGAAAAUCAGAGUUGGCCAGGCAUGGUGGCCCAUGCCUGUAAUCCUAGUACUUUGGGAGCCAACGUGGGUGGAUCACUUGAGGCCAGGAGUUCGAGACCAGCCUUGGCAACACAGUGAAACCCCGUCUCUACUAAAAAUACAAAAGUUAGCUGGGCAUGGUGGCAGGCACCUGUAAUCCCAGCUACGGGAGGCUGAGGCUGCAGUGAGCCAAGAUCAGGCCAUUGCACUUCAGCCUGGGCGACGAAGCAAGACUGUCUCAAGAAAAAAAAAGGGAAAGGAAAGAAAAGAAAAUCACAGCUUGUUAGCCACUUGCAGCUAAAGCACAUAUGCACAAAAAUUAUUCAGUAAAAGCAAAACAGUUUUGGUGUAUCUUGAGAUUUUGUUUUGUAUCCAAAGGAAGACUGUAUCUUUUACCUUUGAACUACUCUUUGGAAAAUACCUUCUGUAUAACAAAUGUUAUAGUUUUCUUCUAACUGGGUCUUGAGGUCUCUCAGGAGAAUGGCUAUAAACUCUACCUCACUCUAAUGGGGCUCUAGGGAACGGGCCUGUGGGUUUUUAGAGCAGCCUUUCACCGGACAUUUCUUUUUCCUGGCCCACAGCCUAAUGCUCAAAUAUCUGACUCAUGACCAGGUGUCUCACAGGAAACUCGUUUAUACUGGCAGAUGCCCUUAUAACUUUUGUCUGACCUGUGUGCAGCUUAUUCCUACAUGAUACCCACUCUUUCUUUUCUUUUUUUUUUUUUUUUUUUUGAGACGGAGUCUCAAUCUAUCACUAGGCUGGAGUGCUGUGGCACAACCUUGGCUCACUGCAACCUCCACCAUCUGGGUUCAAGCAAUUCUCCUACCUCAGCCUCCAGAGUAGCUGGGACUACAGGCAUGCACCACCAUGCCCAGCUAAUUUUUGUAUUUUUAGUAGAGACAGAGUUUCACCAUGUUGGCCAGGAUGGUCUCGAUCUCUUGACCUCAUGAUCGGCCCUACUCGGCCUCCCAAAGUUCUUGGAUUCCAGGCAUGAGCCACCACGCCUGGUCUUUUUUUUUUUUUGAGACAGGAUCUUGCUCUGGUGCCCUGGUGCCUAGGCUGGAGUGCACUGGCAGGAUCACAGCUCACUGCAGCCUUGACCUCCUAGGCUCAAGCAAUCCUCCCACCUCAGCCUCCCAAGUAGCUGGGACUACAGGCAUGUCCCACUACAUCUGGCUAAUAUGUAUAUGAUAUAUAUUUUUAUAGAGAUAGGGUUUUGCCAUGUUGCCCAGGUUGGUCUUGAACUCCUGAGCUCAAGCAGUUCACCUGCCUUGGCCUCCCAAAGUGCUGUGAUUACAGGUGUGGGUUACCACACCCAGCCAAUGUACAUUUAAUUAUCAAAGUACUGUCUAUACUAUUUUAUGGAAGUACUUAUUAUCAAAGUGCAAUAGAGAUUGUUGUUGUUUUUGUUGUUUUUGUUGUUGUUGUUUUGAGACAGUUUCACUCUUAUUGCUCAGGCUGGAGUGCAGUGGUGAGAUCUCGGCUCACUGCAACAUUCACCUCCCAGGUUCAAGCGAUUCUCCUGCCUCAGCCUCCCAAGUAGCUGGGAUUACAGGCAUGCGCCACCACACCCAGCUAAUUUUGUAUUUUUAGUAGAGACUAAAAUGGUCUCUCCACGUUGGUCAGGCCAGUCUCGAGUUCCUGAUCUCAGGUGAUCCAUCCGCCUUGGCCUCCCAAAGUGCUGGUUUACAGGCGUGAGCCACUGCGCCUGGCCAAUAGAGGUUUUUAAACUUUUUGUAGAUAUUUUUGAAAGAUCCUGUCUUCCUUUAAGAAAAGAGAAAAGGCUGGGUGUGGUGGCUCGUGCCUGUAAUCCCAGCACUUUGGGAGGCCAAAGCAGGUGGAUUGCUUGAGCUCAGGAGUUUGAGAGCAGCCUGGCCAAAUGGCAAAACCUUGUUUCUACUAAAAAUGCAAAAAAAAAAUUAGCUGGGCAUGGUGGUGCAUGCCUAUAGUCAAAGCUAAUACAGAGGCUGAGGUGGGAGGAUCACCUGAGCCUGGGAGGUUGAGGCUGCAGUGAGCUGUGAUUGUGCCACUGAGCUCCAGCCUGGGCAACAGAACGAGACGCUGUCUCAAAGUGAAAACAAAAACAAAAAAAUGAAACGAGAAAAAAAAAAAAAAAAAAAAAAACAAGAAAAAAAUGGUAAGGGGGGCAGUGCCUAUUUAUUAAGCUUUUUUUGUAAAUACUAACUUGCAUAUCAGAUGUUUACUGUAAUAUUCUUUAAGCUUUGCUAGGCCUACAGCUUGCUGUGUGCUUUUCUACUCUAUUUCAUUUAUUUGGGAAAUAAUAUAUCAAUGUACUUUAUGCAUUCCCAGCUCUAAGCAUGGAAUACUGGGAAUGUCCCAUUCUAUGAAGGAGGCUUGCCAGCCGCAACAGGAAUAUUCAUGAACAUGGAGGUACUUUGUUGAAGUUACACUAAUUUUUUUACUCUUCCCCACUCUCAGCCUAGCCGGUCUGCUCACUAUAUUCUCUCUAUCCUUCAGCACCCUUUCAUCUCUUCCUUCAUCUUAAAAACCUUUCCUUUAAUUUCAACAGCGCUGCCUGGGUUUGUCAUUUCAGGGGUUGGGCAUGUUCUAGGAUCUGUCUAUAGACUUCUCUCAGGAGGAAUGGGAGUGCCUGGAUGCUGCUCAGAAGGACUUACACAGAGAUGUAAUGAUGGAGAACUAUAGCAGCCUGGUCUCACUAGGUAAGGAUGUCUAUCCCCAAAUAGCUCAUGAAUUUUGGGUGUAGCUUUCACUUGUCUGGGUGACUUUUCACCUGCUGUCUAGGGAAUUGUUUUGUGUUUUGUAGAUUAACAGAUGGGCAGCUCUUUGGGUCCAUCCAUCUUCUCCAUGCUUCAGACCUUUACACCUUCCUCUGUCCUUCAUGAGUACUAAGGGACUAACUUUGAAUUCAGGAACAGCAUGAGUAUGUCUUACUUCUUUUCUUUCUCUCUUUCUUUCUUUCUUUCUUUCUUUCUUUCUUUCUCUCUUUCUUUUCUUUCUUGAGAUGAAGUCUCACUCUAUCACCCAGGCUGGAGUGCAAUGGCGCAAUCUCAGUUCACUCCAACCUCUGUCUCUCAGGUUCAAGCGAUUCUCAUGUCUCAGCCUCCUGAGUAGCUGGGAUUACAGGCACCCACCACCAAGCCUGGCCAAUUUUUGUGUUUUUAGUAGAGACGGGGUUUCACCAUGUUGGUCAGGCUGGUCUUGAACUCCUGACCUCAAGCAAUCCACCUGUUUUGGCCUCCCAAAGUGCUGGGAUAAUAGGAGUGAGCCACCAUGCCUGGCCAUCUUACUUCUUUUGUUAUAAACAGGUCUCUCUAUCCCAAAGCCUGCUGUGAUUUCCUUACUGGAGCAAGGGAAAGAGCCCUGGAUGGUUUCAAGGGACGUACUAGGAGGAUGGUGCCCAGUCUCACUCUGUAGCCCCGGCUGGAGUGCAGUGGCGCGAUCGUGUCACUGCAAGCCAGUAAGAAGCGCUUGGGGAUGACCUGCCUACGAGCACAGCAAAACCUUUCCUGCGCAUUUCUGCGCCGGAAUGCCUACCCGCCCCGCCAAAGCAAAGCUUUGCUAUCACUCUUGGUGUCGUUUCCUGCACUUUCUUGGAGAUUUGUACCAGGCGCUGGAGACCCUCCCACCUGGUCCAUGCCCGCCGCCCAGUGAGCACCGAGACCCAACCUUGUGCACCGCCAGUCUUGUUAUCAACAAAGAGGCUAGUAAAUUAUAAAAAAUAAAAUAAAGGAAAUGUAGCUGGGCAUGGUGGCAUGCGCCUGUAAUCCCAGCUACUCCGGAGGCUGAUGCAGGAGAAUCGCUUGAACCCAGGAGGUGAAGGUUGCAGUGAGCUGAGAUCGCGCCACUGCACUCCAGCCUGGGCGGCAAGAGCGAAACUCCUUCUCAAAAUAAUAAAUAAAAUAAAAGAAAUGGGGACGGGCGCGGUGGCUCAUGCCUGUAAUUCCAGCACUUUGGGAGGCCGAGGCAGGCAGAUCACUUGAGGUCAGAAGUUCAAGACCAGUCUGGCCAACAUGGUGAAACCCCGUCUCUACUAAAAAUAGAACAAUUAGCCAGGCAUGGUGGCGGGCGCCUGUAAUCCCAGCUAUUCGUGAGGCGGAGGCGCAAGAAUCGCUUGAAUUCCGGCGGCAGAGGUUGCAGUGAACCGAGAUCGCGCCACUGUGCUCCAGCCUGGGUGACAGAGCGAGAUUCCAUCUUAAAAUAAAAUAGGCCAGCCGAGGAUGCUCGUGCCUGUAAUCCCAGCACUUUGGACACCGAGGCGGGUGGAUUGCCUGAGCUCAGGAGUUCAAGACCAUCCUGGCCUACAUGGUGAAACCCCAUCUCUACUAAAAAUGCAAAAAUUAGCAGGGCAUGGUGGCACAUGCCUGUAAUCCUAGCUACUUGGGAGGCUGAGGCAGGAGAACCGUUUCAACCCAGGAGGCAGAAGUUACAGUGAGCCGAGACCACGACAUUGCACUCCAGCUUGGGCAAGACGAUUGAAACUCCGUCUCAUACAAAAGAAAUAGACAAAGCAAAUAUUAAUGCAUGAACUCAAACAAAUGCUUUCACCGCCAGGCUCUGUCUUUGCAAAACUGAACCUAGGACAAUGUGCACGUUUCUAACUAGCAAUUCCGGAGGACAGAUCAGGGAGGCAGCGUGAGCUUGCUUUUCUGCAAUUUUUUUUUUUUUUUUAAUUAUACUUUAGGGUUUUAGGGUACAUGUGCACAAUGUGCAGGUUUGUUACAUAUGUAUCCAUGUGCCAUGUUGAUUUCCUGUACCCAUUAACUCGUCAUUUAGCAUUAGGUGUAUCUCCUAAUGCUGUCCCUCCCCCCUACCCCCACCCCACAACAGUCCCCGGAGCGUGAUGUUCCCCUUCCUGUGUCCAUGUGUUCUCAUUGUUCAAUUCCCACCUAUGAGUGAGAACAUGCGGUGUUUGGUUUUUUGUCCUUGCGAUAGUUUACUGAGAAUGAUGUUUUCCAAUUUAAUUGACUGGUCAGUAAAGUCAGUGUUUGCAGGCAUUUUCAAUGUUCUGUAGUGGGCUUCAGUUCCUAUGGCAGUGUGGCAGGCCAGGUUUCCAAUAGCAACCAGAACAGUUUCACUAACCCUUUACUAUAAUUUUGAUGAAUGCAUAAGUUAACGCUAAAGAAAUGGAGAAACUGGUGCCUGACUAUCAGGGAUGGAAUGUGAAAACAAACCCAUUGAGACCCCGCCUGGGUUUUCUCAGACCCUAAAUUCUGAUCGAAUAAUGAUAGCAUUCUUACACAUUCACCUUGGCCUGUCUUAAGAUUCAGAAACUUUCCAAGACUCUAGAGAAAUCUUUCCAGACCCUAGACCCGAGUUAAAGAUUAGAUGUUGAUUGAAUGAAACACUCCUGCUUGUAGGUGCAAUCCCACAUGGACCUUAAGCACUAGAAAAAAAACUUGUAACUUUGAGCUGAUCUGAUGAGUUACCUGGCGCUUCUCCCUGUAACCGGCUGCAGAAAUAAACUUCCUUCUUACGCA